rnacentral:rRNA from 1 species
AUGGCUCAGAUUGAACGCUGGCGGCAGGCCUAACACAUGCAAGUCGAACGGUAACAGGAAGCAGCUUGCUGCUUGCUGACGAGUGGCGGACGGGUGAGUAAUGUCUGGGAAACUGCCCGAUGGAGGGGGAUAACUACUGGAAACGGUAGCUAAUACCGCAUAAUGUCGCAAGACCAAAGAGGGGGACCUUCGGGCCUCUUGCCAUCGGAUGUGCCCAGAUGGGAUUAGCUUGUUGGUGAGGUAACGGCUCACCAAGGCGACGACCCCUAGCUGGUCUGAGAGGAUGACCAGCCACACUGGAACUGAGACACGGUCCAGACUCCUACGGGAGGCAGCAGUGGGGAAUAUUGCACAAUGGGCGCAAGCCUGAUGCAGCCAUCGCCGCGUGUAUGAAGAAGGCCUUCGGGUUGUAAAGUACUUUCAGCGGGGAGGAAGGGGUUAAGGUUAAUAACCUUAGCCAUUGACGUUACCCGCAGAAGAAGCACCGGCUAACUCCGUGCCAGCCGCAGC